UUUAAGUUGAAUUACCUAAUGAAAUUCUCUCUUGAUAGAAGACUUAGAUAGAUAAAAGUAAUGUGGUGGGAAUCGAUUCCUCCGUUUUUAAUUAUUGGUGGCUCUUUAUGGCUAGGUGGAACUAUUGUUGGAGCAAUAAAUAAAUUCCAGAAUGGUGGAAGGCCACUUCGAGUAAGACAAGAUGAUUUUGCAAAAAUAUUGACUGUUCGAGAUAUUGAGUUAACUGGCAACCAUUUCAAGCAACAGGCACCUUGAUUGGUAUUAUGAGACUUGGAUUUCAUUGUAAAUUAUCAAAUAACAAUAUAGUAAAUUCUGAAA